UAGCGUAUGCCGAGGAAAAUAAUGUGGCUUUCUUGCGGACAGUUUCCGGUAUCUUCAUGGUCCAGCUUGAGUCAUUGCAGUUCAGUAAACUUCCUGAAAACAACAACUGUGCUAUCUGUUAUCCAUUAGAAAGUGUCUAUGCUGCAGAAACAAGCAUUGGUGGUGGACAUGGUGGAGCUGAUCAAGAUAUGAUAGUAUGAUGUACUGGUUGAGCAGGAAAGCUUAUCUUCUGAAUGUAUGCCGAGGAAAGGCUUGGAUAAGAUUGCUAAGGCUUGGAGUACGAAAUAAACAUGCCACUUUGAGAUAUGCAAAAUUUCACACAAGUGGUGCGCCGACACGCGAAACUCAUUUUAUUGAUUGCUUCGGCAAUCACUGCCAUUCAACAUCAUAUGAUCCCAUGAUCUACAUGUUCAGAUCUUUAUUUUGAAGGUCACUUGGCGUUAGUUAUUGCCCCACCUCUUAUUGCACUCAGCUAUACAAUCCGCAACACUUUAUGCAUCUGCAAAAUAGCCAAGACGAGCACAAGAUCCUCAGACCAGAUGGUGAUCCUUCUGUGUAACAAUAGAAAAAAGAGAGCAUAUUGCCUCGAUGUUCAGGAAAAUUCAUCUACAAACAGAGCAAAUGCAAUGCAAUUAU